AUUGAACGCUGGCGGCAGGCCUAACACAUGCAAGUCGAACGAGGGGCGGACGGGAGUGAAAUGUCUGGGAAAUUGCCCGAUGGAGGGGGAAAACUUUUGGAAACGGUAGCUAAUACCGAAUACCAUCAGAUGGGCCUAGAUGGGUUUGGCUUGUUGUGGGGGGAACGGCUCACCAAGGCGACGACCCCUAGCUGGUCUGAGAGGAGGACCAGCCAAAAUGGAACGGGGACACGGUCCAGACUCCGACGGGAGGAAGCAGUGGGGAAUAUUGCACAAUGGGCGAAAGCCUGAUGCAGCCAUGCCGGGUGGAGGAAGAAGGCCUUAGGGUGGUAAAGUACUUUAAGCGGGGAGGCGGUACCCGCAGAAGAAGCACCGGCUAACUCCGUGCCAGCAGCCGCGGUAAUAC
rnacentral:rRNA from 1 species